AACGAACGCUGGCGGCAGGCUUAACACAUGCAAGUCGAGCGCGUAGCAAUACGAGCGGCAGACGGGUGAGUAACGCGUGGGAAUCUACCCAUCUCUACGGAAUAACCCAGGGAAACUUGGACUAAUACCGUAUACGUCCGAGAGGAGAAAGAUUUAUCGGAGAUGGAUGAGCCCGCGUUGGAUUAGCUAGUUGGUGGGGUAAUGGCCUACCAAGGCGACGAUCCAUAGCUGGUCUGAGAGGAUGAUCAGCCACACUGGGACUGAGACACGGCCCAGACUCCUACGGGAGGCAGCAGUGGGGAAUCUUAGACAAUGGGGGCAACCCUGAUCUAGCCAUGCCGCGUGAGUGAUGAAGGCCUUAGGGUUGUAAAGCUCUUUCAGCUGGGAAGAUAAUGACGGUACCAGCAGAAGAAGCCCCGGCUAACUCCGUGCCAGCAGCCGCCGUAAAAC
rnacentral:rRNA from 1 species